GGUGGGCACCUUCACGGGGGUCUGCCCUACUUCCCUGGAGGAGUGUUUAUCCAGCUAAAGAAUUAGUGCAUCUGCAGUAUCAUAGAGGGAGCAGCAGCAAGACUGAGACAAUGGACCCCAGUGAAAUGCCUUCGUGAUGACUAGAGCACACCCAGGCGUGCUAAGCAUCGAAUGAUCAUCACUUAAUAGCAUCAGGAGGAACAAAGCUGGAACAUGUUGGAUGCAGAAUCUCCUAGGAAGGGCUGUUAUCCCAUGCUGAGUUUCUCACAGCUGAUAAUGCUGCGACCAGUGAGUGGCUACGUGACAGGAGGGAGAGGAGAGUGGCUCCUUGCUGGUCUGCAGAGUAAGCCUUUACUUCCCUGAUUUGCUCUGCACAGUAGAAGUAAAACAUCUUAUUUUCAUUAUUACAAGUAACUUUUUUAGUUCUGAACUGAACACUUAGGCAGGAAGGCCUGAAAAACCACCAAAGCUAUUUUUUAUCAGUUUGGAUGGAAAUCACUGUCUA